rnacentral:tRNA from 1 species
AUUAGUUUGGUGUAGUUAGCAUAUUAACUUUUCGUGUUAAAGGAGGAAAAUAUUUCUAACUAAUA